ensembl:lncRNA
AGCCAAACCCGAUUCAGUGGUGAAGAGAAGCAGAGGAAAUGUUUGUCUGCAGCUAAAUAAAGCAGGAAGACACUGAGCUGCUCAGGUGUUCCUGAUAACACCAAGCAGCCACCUGGACAGCCAAUAGGAACACAGCUUCCUGGAAGUCCAGAGGGCGGGAACUGUGGUUAUCCAUCUAUUCAUGCCAACUGACAGAAGCAAAAAUCCAGCAUGGGAAAGAGAAGAUGACACACAGGGGCUUUUGUGGACUCACAGAUGGAAUAUACAGAUGGAAAGAUCUGCAUCAUCAGAGACAGCAGCAAAGAGACUGAGAUGUAAGAUCUGGGGAUCUAAGGUCAACAUCAAAUGGAUGCACCGUCUGUACUGAAAGGUACAUAAAGCGACA